rnacentral:rRNA from 1 species
GUGAAAGCCCCGGGCUCAACCUGGGAACUGCAUUUCGAACUGGCAAACUAGAGUGUGAUAGAGGGUGGUAGAAUUUCAGGUGUAGCGGUGAAAUGCGUAGAGAUCUGAAGGAAUACCGAUGGCGAAGG